UACUCCUUAAAGACAACAAAAAGGUUGUAUGUAUGCAAGUUAUAAUUGGCAAAGUCGCAUUUAUGACAAUUUGAUUUAAAUAAAUUCCUUAAGUGCGCACCAUUAGUCGUUGCGGAAUAGCGAGUUGUAUAAAACCGUCAGACUUCCGAUGGCUUGAACGCUAUUGUAUAUAGAUAGGCCAUUCAUGAAUGUAGGCAUAUGCAUCUAUCAACAAUCAUAUGCAUGGACGCUCUGACACUAAUAAGUGUAUUGAAAAUACAUAUGCAAUUACGCACGCAAUGAAUGUGUGUGAGUAGCCUACGACUACGCGCGUGUGUGUGUGGAUUUGAAGUUUCGGUUCUACCAUUUGCGUUGUGCACAUGUAAAGUGAACGAUAAGUAUGGGCGAGUCCAUUUCAACAAUAUGGGUUGACGUGAAAGUAGAAAAAUAGUAGGCGAGGAAUCCCAAAUGUUAGACACUACUGUCCUACUUUCUUUCCAGAGCUUUCAUAAAGAAAAAGCCGUGAGGAUAACCCCGACCCCACGACCACUAAGCAGACACCAUCUUCAGAACUCCACCGCGACAUAAGCGAACGCAAAACACAUUAUCGAACUCACAAACAAUAAUUUUUCAAUUAAGUUUUCAUAAAGAAAUGAUAAAAUAUCCUUAGUUCCGUCCACAAUUAAAUUGCUAACCUGUU